rnacentral:misc_RNA from 1 species
UUAAUACUACUUCAUCCUCAGUCAGCAGUGGAGCCCCGGAAUAUGCGCCGUCGAACCACAGUGCAUCUCAACGAGCAAGAAAAACUACUGGACCAUCCACGGCCUCUGGCCUGCGGGAGACAACACUUCGCCAAGCUUCUGCGUGGACGAGCAGUUCAACGGCCGCGUUCUUGACCCGAUCAAGAGAGAUCUGAACAAGUACUGGCCUUCUCUGACGAGCGCUGAAGCACGAUACUUCACAUUUUGGCGUCACCAGUGGCAGAAGCACGGCACCUGCGCCGGUGACGUUCCCGCGCUGAAUGGCCUCUUCAAAUUCUUCAACUCAACGCUCGCCGUCUACAAGAAGUACAACAUAUUCGAGUUUCUGUCCAACAGCCUUAUAAGGCCAAGUGUCGUCAGAACGUACUCGGCUGCUGAAAUUCGUAACGCCCUCUCGGACGACAUUCGGCAGAAGGUCAACAUCGUCUGCAGCCAAAGAGUGCCGAACAGGGACGCUCCUGUCCUGACUGAGAUUCGAUUCUGCCU